UACAGAGGUGGCAAGCGUUGUUCGGAAUUACUGGGCGUAAAGGGCGCGUAGGCGGUCUUGUAAGUCUCGUGUGAAAUCCCUCGGCUUAACUGAGGAACUGCACGGGAUACUGCUUGACUUGAGUUCGGGAGAGGGAAGCGGAAUUCCGGGUGUAGCGGUGAAAUGCGUAGAUAUCGGGAGGAACACCAGUGGCGAAGGCGAUCAUCUGGGGUUGUUCUGACGCUGAGGAGCGAAAGCCAGGGGAGCAAACGGG
rnacentral:rRNA from 1 species